CGCAUAUCCUUUUCUGUUAUUGUUUAUUUUUGUUUGUUUUAAUUUUGGUUUAUUCUGUAUAAUAACUGUGGCGAUUGCAAUGAUGAUAACAUUUUCCCAGCUCAUUAUGAGACCUUAUUUUUAAGGUCCGAGAAUAUACUCCGUUUCCAACACAUAUAUAUAUCUGAGCUUCGCCUCUUUUUUGCUUGAAUUUUCUCUGAAUUGAAAAUCAAGUAUAUGUUUUCUAUUACUAGCAAUUUCUUUUGUGAUUUUUCAUUUUUUUUUAUUGUGCAAAAGGCUGGAGAUAUUGGUGUUCCCUGUGAUGUAAGAUUGACCAUGCUAAUUCUGAAUUUUUUUUCUGAAGAAAGCUUAUGUUAUUUGUCUGAGGGAACAUUCUUGCA